rnacentral:rRNA from 1 species
UUUGGAAUUUUGGACAAUGGGCGAAAGCCUGAUCCAGCGACGCCGCGUGGACGAUGAAGGCCUUCGGGUUGUAAAGUCCUUUUGCUCGGGAACAAUAUUUUGAGCGUACCGAGAGAAUAAGAGGUUGCUAACUCUGUGCCAGCAGCAGCGGUAAUACAGAGACCUCAAGCGUUAUCCGGAAUCAUUGGGCGUAAAGCGUACCGAUAGGUGGUUUUACAAGUCAGAAGUGAAAUUCCAAAGCUCAACUUUGGGUCUGUCUUUUGAAACUGUAAAACUAGAAGGGCAAAGAGGAAGCUGGAACAAACGGUGUAGUAGUGAAAUGCGUUGAUAUCGUUUGGAACACCAAUAGCGUAGGCAGGCUUCUGGGUGCCACUUGACACUGCUAGGACGAAAGCGUGGGGAGCGAAUGGGAUUAGAUACCCCCGUAGUCC